rfam:Perkinsus marinus ATCC 50983 gcontig_1104296419510, whole genome shotgun sequence.
AAGGCCUGAUGUGUGUGAGAUUACCCGCUGAAUUUAAGCAUAUAAGUAAGCGGAGGAAAAGAAACUAACUAGGAUUCCCUUAGUAAUGGCGAAUGAACAGGGAUCAGCUCAGUGCCAAAUCGGAAUCACUUGUGGUUCUGAAAUGUGGCUUGAAGGCAGUACCAGUGGCAUCGCGGACGAAAGUCUCUUGGAAAGAGCGUCAUAGAGGGUGAGAAUCCCGUGAGUCGUUCGCCGUUUGUCACGUACGGUCUGCGUUCUAACGAGUCGCGUUCCUUGGGAUUGGAGCGUAAACGGGUGGUAAAUUUCAUCCAAAGCAAAAUAU